GCUAAGGUGGGGAAUGAAAAACAGUCAACAUUCUGGGCCAGGUUCAGUACUGAAGGUUAAUGGUCAAUGAAGAAAUCUCCCCAAAGUUUAGAUUAAGAGUCUUCAGUCUAAGAAAACCUGUGAAGUUGGAGUGAUUACCCAUUUAUGGAUGAUGAUACUCAAGCUCGGAGAAGUUCAUCAAGUUGACCAAAAUCUACAGUCUGUAAUUGUUGGGUGUCAAGACUCACAUUCAGGGUAGACAACAUGUGUUGAUUUGCUGCCGGGUAUCUAUUCAUCCAUCUUCUGCUAACUGUAUCCUGAUUCUCCUCUGAGCUACCCAUCAUCCCCAACUCUCUUUCCAAGGGUUUCAGGCAAAUUAACUACACUCCUAGUUCACGAGUGGAUCAUAUGAUCUGGGGUAUAGCUAACCAGCAUCUUGCAUUCCCUGGGCAACAGCGAGUGGAUCAGGGGUGGACCCACAGCCCAUUGAGAACUAUCACCUGGAUAUAAUCGACAUCUGUCAACUACUCCAUCCAAAAACAACAGAAUGCACCUUCUUCUCAAGCUCAGACAGAACAUUCAUCAAGAAAGACCACAUUCUGGACCGUAAAAAUGCGCCUUAACAAAUAUAUGUAUAUAUUUUUUUUUGAGAUAUCACCAAGCUUGUCUAUAUUACAGUGAUUCCCUCUUCUAUUCCCUACUGAGUCACCUUCAGGCGUGUAGGGCAGCAAUAUAAACUGUAAUUCACAUUGUAAAUGGAGUAGGGAUGGCUCCAGUGAACCAAGGUGAAAAUAAAAAUUUCUCGUGUUUGGAGAUGGAGGUUGGCAUCUGAAGUAUUGAGACUCUCAAAAUGAUUUUUUCAGUGGUUUCAAAUGUUUUAAGUAUCCUGGUGCUGUGGGUAUGCAAUAUGUCAUGUACAAGCUGAUUUCUUCCAUCUAUCGGUCCUUUUUAAACUCAAUACUUCAUCAUUUUGUGAAAUUGUAACAUUAAAA
rnacentral:lncRNA from 1 species